rnacentral:rRNA from 1 species
GUGUCAGCAGCCGCGGUAAUACGGAGGGUGCAAGCGUUAUCCGGAUUUAUUGGGUUUAAAGGGUCCGUAGGCGGACUUAUAAGUCAGUGGUGAAAGCCUGUCGCUUAACGAUAGAACUGCCAUUGAUACUGUAAGUCUUGAGUAUAUUUGAGGUAGCUGGAAUAAGUAGUGUAGCGGUGAAAUGCAUAGGUAUUACUUAGAACACCAAUUGCGAAGGCAGGUUACCAAGAUAUAACUGACGCUGAGGGACGAAAGCGUGGGGAGUGAACAGGAUUAGAUACCCUGGUAGUCCACGCCGUAAACGAUGCUAACUCGUUUUUGGGCUUUAGGGUUCAGAGACCAAGCGAAAGUGAUAAGUUAGCCACCUGGGGAGUACGCUCGCAAGAGUGAAACUCAAAGGAAUUGGCGGGG